rnacentral:rRNA from 1 species
GAUGAACGCUGGCGGCGCGCCUAACACAUGCAAGUCGAACGAUUAAAGCACCUCCGGGUGUGUAUAAAGUGGCGAACGGCUGAGUAACACGUGGGCAACCUGCCCCUCUCAAUGGGAUAGCCACGGGAAACCGUGGAUAAUACCCGAAUACUUCGGGACUUCCGCAUGGAAGGCUCGAGAAAGCUCCGGCGGAGAGGGAUGGGCCCGCGGCCUGUUAGCUUGUUGGUGGGGUAACGGCCUACCAAGGCAAUGAUGGGUAGCUGGGUUGAGAGACCGACCAGCCAGAUUGGGACUGAGACACGGCCCAGACUCCUACGGGAGGCAGCAGUGGGGAAUCUUGCACAAUGGGCGAAAGCCUGAUGCAGCGACGCCGCGUGCGGGAUGAAGGCCUUCGGUUGGUAAACCGACGUUUCUAGCAGGACGAGGCG